GGCUGUAACUAUAACGGUCCUAAGGUAGCAAAUUUCCUUGUCGUCUUAAUAACGACCUGCAUGAAACAUAGAACGAUUUGAUAGCUGUCUUGCACACACAUCAUGGUAAAAUAUUCAUCAGUACAAAUAAUAUGCUGCUGACACUAAAGGACAAAAAGACCCUUUGAAGCUUUAUAGGGAUAAAACUCAGCUUUAAAUCAACAAACAAUGAAAUCCAUCUUGUUGCUUCUCCGCUUUUUAAAUUGCUAAAGCCUUACAAGAUUUACAAGACCACUGUUUAAUUGGGGCGAUAACCUUAUCCACAGCCACCUAAGGUGAACAAAGCGAUACAAGGAUCCUAAAUACUAAUGUGAAGCUACUCUACGGAUAACAGGCUUAAUUUCCGCAAUAUCCAAGGUCACAUUAUCAAGAAUAAAGCACCUCGAUGUCGGCUUAUCUCAACCAAGGUAAGUAGCCCAAAUAUUGGUGGGAGUGCUCAUCCCGUAAAAAGGUACGUGAGCUGGGUUCAAUACGAUGG
rnacentral:rRNA from 1 species